CAGUAGCCACGGUAAUACGGAGGGUGCAAGCGUUAAUCGGAAUUACUGGGCGUAAAGCGCACGCAGGCGGUUUGUUAAGUCAGAUGUGAAAUCCCCGAGCUUAACUUGGGAACUGCAUUUGAAACUGGCAAGCUAGAGUCUUGUAGAGGGGGGUAGAAUUCCAGGUGUAGCGGUGAAAUGCGUAGAGAUCUGGAGGAAUACCGGUGGCGAAGGCGGCCCCCUGGACAAAGACUGACGCUCAGGUGCGAAAGCGUGGGGAGCAAACAGGAUUAGAUACCCCGGUAGUCCCUGUCUCUUAUAC
rnacentral:rRNA from 1 species